rnacentral:tRNA from 1 species
UGAAUAUAGCUUAGCGGUAGAGCACUUGCCUUGCAUGUGUGAGGCCCUGGGUUCAAUUCCCCGUACUGCAA